GCUGGGCAUGGUAGCGCAUGUCUAUAAUCCCAGCUACUUGGGAGGCUGAGGCAGGAGAAUCGCUUGAACCCGGGAGGUGGAGGUUGCAGUGAGCUGAGAUUUUGAGAUUUUGCCACUGCACUAUCCAGCCUGGGUGACAGAGCAAGAUUCUGUCUCAA
ensembl:misc_RNA Metazoa_SRP Metazoan signal recognition particle RNA